rnacentral:rRNA from 1 species
CCUACGGGAGGCAGCAGUGGGGAAUCUUGCGCAAUGGGCGAAAGCCUGACGCAGCAACGCCGCGUGCGGGAAGAAGGCUCUCGGGGUUGUAAACCCGCUUUCAGCAGGAACGAAAAUGACGGUACUUGCAGAAGAAGGUGCGGCCAACUACGUGCCAGCAGCCGCGGUGACACGUAGGCACCAAGCGUUGUCCGGAUUUAUUGGGCGUAAAGAGCUCGUAGGCGGUUCGGUAAGUCAGGUGUGAAAACUUUGGGCUCAACCCAAAGCCUGCAUCUGAUACUGCUGUGACUAGAGUUCGGUAGGGGANCGGGGAAUUCCUAGUGUAGCGGUGAAAUGCGCAGAUAUUAGGAGGAACACCGGUGGCGAAGGCGCCGCUCUGGGCCGAAACUGACGCUGAGGAGCGAAAGCGUGGGUAGCAAACAGGAUUAGAUACCCUGGUAGUCCACGCCGUAAACGUUGGGCACUAGGUGUGGGUUUCAACCAACGAAAUCCGCGCCGUCGCUAACGCAUUAAGUGCCCCGCCGUCGGGUAGGUACGGCCGCGAACGGUUAAACCGUAACAAUAGAAUUAGACGGCGUGAGACGNGCCGACGGACGACGACGAGGGAGAGG